AUUGAACGCUGGCGGCAUGCUUUACACAUGCAAGUCGAACGGUAACAGGCCUUCGGGUGCUGACGAGUGGCGAACGGGUGAGUAAUGCAUCGGAACGUACCCAGAGGUGGGGGAUAACGCAGCGAAAGCUGUGCUAAUACCGCAUGUGAUCUGAGGAUGAAAGCGGGGGACCGAGCAGCAAUGUUUGGCCUCGCGCCUUUGGAGCGGCCGAUGUCGGAUUAGCUAGUUGGUGGGGUAAAGGCCUACCAAGGCGACGAUCCGUAGCUGGUCUGAGAGGACGACCAGCCAGACUGGGACUGAGACACGGCCCAGACUCCUACGGGAGGCAGCAGUGGGGAAUUUUGGACAAUGGGCGCAAGCCUGAUCCAGCAAUGCCGCGUGCGGGAAGAAGGCCUUCGGGUUGUAAACCGCUUUUGGCAGGAACGAAACGGUGUCCGCUAAUACCGGGCGCUAAUGACGGUACCUGCAGAAUAAGCACCGGCUAACUACGUG
rnacentral:rRNA from 1 species